GAUGACGCGGAGCCAGGGGCGGCGGUAAGACUGAGGGGCUGAGGGGGGUGGGGAAGUGCGGUGCGGAAAGCGCGCGGAGGCGGACUAUAAAGGUGGGGUGGAGAGUCGGGGGCGGAAGCGCGGAGCUGGUUCAAAAACGCAUGGGCUUGAGUGCGAGAGAGGGGAGGUGAAUUCCGAGUGUAGGGGGGAAAUUCGGAGAUAUUCGGAGGAACACCAGUGGCGAAGGCGGCUCACUGGCUCGUUACUGACGCUGAGGUGCGAAAGUGUGGGGAGCAAACAGGAUUAGAUACCCUAGGAGUC
rnacentral:rRNA from 1 species